rnacentral:misc_RNA from 1 species
CUUUGUAUACGGAGUGAAAUUAUAUACCUCGGCAAUCCCUUUCUUUUUUGUCACUUGAUGGUUUUUUGAUAAUGGUGUUCAGCUGUGUUACUUAUUGCUAUAAGAUAUAUGCACAUAUUGCUUUGGUUUCAGUAUGGAUGUGUUGGAUGCUCAGAAAUAACAGAAAUAAUAGGUUCUUUGCAUGGAAAAUGGUUUUAAGCAUGUGACAUCAUUAGCUUCCUACUCUCAUCAGGUUUACACUUUCUUUAUAUCAUGUUUGAGGAGCAAGCAGUUUUAUAAUGUUCUGGUCUUUAUUUUCACCCUUCUCUCUUUUAACUUUUUGUUUACACAAAUGUAUCUGUAGUGAAUUUCCGGCUUCUGUUAAAUGGAAUCCAUUACACUUUUUUUUGCUAGAAGUCCU